rnacentral:rRNA from 1 species
UACAGAGGGGGCAAGCGUUGUCCGGAUUUACUGGGCGUAAAGAGCGCGCAGGCGGUCGUACAAGUCGCGUGUGAAAGCCCCCGGCUCAACUGGGGAGGGUCACGCGAUACUGUUCGACUCGAAGGCAGGAGAGGGAAGUGGAAUUCCCGGUGUAGUGGUGAAAUGCGUAGAUAUCGGAAGGAACAUCAGUGGCGAAAGCGACUUCCUGGACCAAUACUGACGCUCAUGUGCGAAAGCGUGGGGAGCAAACAGGG